rnacentral:lncRNA from 1 species
UCGUUUUGUGGAGUAAUUAAAAUGCCAGCCUCUAAAUUCAGAUAUGAUCUCAAGAUAUUUGAUCGACGCCUAGGCGCUAGUAGACAUUCGCCAUUUCUGCUUAUGGAAAGCUGCAUAACUGACCAAUUAGGUUUUCUGUUUUUAGUUCCCCCGCCAGAAGUAAACUACUUGACCUUACAUUAAUUUCCACCUGUUGAUAUUUUGGUGUGGUCUUAUCCUCUCGUGGCGAAAACAUGGGACAUCGUGGAUGUUAGCUUUUGCUAUUAGGCGAAGCCAAGAUUUAAAUUUUAUAAAUUUGUUAUUUUAAUUAUUUUAUGAUUAUGAGUUAUAUUUUAAUAAGUUGUAUUUAUUCAUUGAGUUCUUAAGAUAAAUAUUGAAUUUGGAGUAAAACAAUUGUAUUUGGCAAAAUCGUUAUUAACUAUGCUCUAGCUAGCCCCGCCCUGCUAUUAGAACGUUGUUUGCUUAAAUAAUAUGACACCACAAAUUCCUAAAUUAUAGUGAAAGGAUUGUGAGAGGCUAUAAAUGAGAUUGUAAUUGUUGUAUCAUAG